rnacentral:rRNA from 1 species
GGAUGCGAUCAUACCAGCACUAAUGCACCGGAUCCCAUCAGAACUCCGAAGUUAAGCGUGCUUGGCGAGAGUAGUACUAGGAUGGGUGACCCCAUGGGAAGUCCUCGUGUUGCAUCCC